rnacentral:lncRNA from 10 species
CCAAACCUAAGUCAUCUGAUUUCAGAGCCCAUACAGUUAAAUGCUCUAAAUGCAGCUUCCCGUGAUGAUGGUGACUAUGAGAGCCUGUCACAUAUGAUGUAGGACAGUGCUUCCCUGUAACAUGCACAAGAUUCCUGUGAUGAUGGUGACUAUGAGAGCCUGUCACAUAUGAUGUAGGACAGUGCUUCCCUGUAACAUGUGCAAGAUUCCCGUGAUGAUGGUGACUAUGAGAGCCUGUCACAUAUGAUGUAGGACAGUGCUUCCCUGUAACAUGUGCAAGAUUCCCAUGAUGAUGGUGACUAUGAGAGCCUGUCACAUAGGAUGUAGGACAGUGCUUCCCUGUAACAUGCACAAGAUUCACCCAGGGAUCUCUUUAAAAUGCAAAACCAUAGACCACACUUUGACUGGCUUGGAUAAGGGGUCAGAGCAUCGAAAUGAGUGUGUAGGUGACUGUGCUAAAAUUCUCCUGCUCAUGUGGGCACUGGCUCAUGAUAUUAACAAAGCUUAGGACCUCUAGUCCUUUCUGGAAAGAAAAUACACAUACAUAGCAUGUGACUGUGCAUAUGGAAUAUCUGUUGUGUUCUGGACAUUGUGCUGGACAACAGAGAUAAGAAGUCAAAUAUCCCUUGUCUCUAUCUGAAAGGAGCUUCC